UACGAAGGGGGCUAGCGUUGUUCGGAAUCACUGGGCGUAAAGCGCACGCAGGCGGAUCGAUAAGUCGGGAGUGAAAGCCCGGGGCUCAACCUCGGAAUUGCCUUCGAUACUGUCGGUCUCGAGUCCGGGAGAGGUGAGUGGAAUUCCUAGUGUAGAGGUGAAAUUCGUAGAUAUUAGGAAGAACGCCAGUGGCGAAGGCGGCUCACUGGCCCGGUACUGAGGCUCAGGUGCGAAAGCGUGGGGAGCAAACAGG
rnacentral:rRNA from 1 species